rnacentral:rRNA from 1 species
UACGUAGGGUGCAAGCGUUGUCCGGAAUUAUUGGGCGUAAAGAGCUCGUAGGCGGUUUGUCGCGUCGAAUGUGAAAACCCGGGGCUCAACCCCGGGCCUGCAUUCGAUACGGGCAGACUAGAGUUCGGUAGGGGAGACUGGAAUUCCUGGUGUAGCGGUGAAAUGCGUAGAGAUCCGGCGGAACACCGGUGGUGGAGGCGGCACCCUGGGCCGAGGCCGACGCUGAGGCGCGAGAGCGUGGGGAGCGAACCGG